UACGAAGGGAGCUAGCGUUGCUCGGAAUCACUGGGCGUAAAGGGUGCGUAGGCGGGUCUUUAAGUCAGGGGUGAAAUCCUGGAGCUCAACUCCAGAACUGCCUUUGAUACUGAAGAUCUUGAGUUCGGGAGAGGUGAGUGGAACUGCGAGUGUAGAGGUGAAAUUCGUAGAUAUUCGCAAGAACACCAGUGGCGAAGGCGGCUCACUGGCCCGAUACUGACGCUGAGGCACGAAAGCGUGGGGAGCAAACAGGGA
rnacentral:rRNA from 1 species